UUCGAAAAAGGAUUUUGAAAUGAAGUUUAUUAAAGUGCAAUUCGAAAAAGGUUUUUGAAAUGCAGUUUAUUAAAGUGCAAUUCGAAAAAAGGUUUUUGAAAUGCAGUUUAUUAAAGUGGAAUUCGAAAAAGGUUUUUGAAAUGCAGUUUAUUAAAGUGCAAUUUGAAAAAAGGUUUUUGAAAUGAAGUUUAUUUAAUCCGUGUACUUUUCGGUAUUUGAAGUUUCGUUUCAGAAAGUAUAAUUUAAAAAAGAAAAUGAGACACUUAUUUAAUUCUCAACUUAAAAAGCUAAAAUGAAAAACGUAAAACAAUUGUUUUUUUCAUUUUGUCCUUUCGCACAUCAGAAACGAAAAACCCAAGAAAAAAGAACGAGAAAGGGCCCUUUAUUUAUUUUGUCUGAACCGGAAGUUUUAGUAGGUCAACAACCUGUACAAGUGAUGCGCAAACUUAUGGCAAACACUGUAGUGUGGACAUCAUGACGUUGGAAAAAUACUCAGACGUGAUCAUGGAGAUGGCAAAACAAGGCCUGUCAUCGGAAAUUAUAUCAGAGCGUCUGUCAUAUGAACACGGGGAAGUGAGAGGAUUUUCUGCGAGAAAUGUUAGAAAGUUUUGUGCUGAGCAAAUCACUAGCUGUCGACUCUCGGACACACGGUUGGAGCUUGAGGUGACACAAGCUAUAAAUGAGGUGGGCCCAACAUAUGGCCGCAAAAUGAUGAAGGGCUAUCUGUCCACAAAAGGGGUACAUGCUGCAGAGGGACGAAUUGGGUCAAUUUUAAGAGAGGUGCAUCAACCUUAUCAUGAAGCAAGACGCCAGGGAGCUCGGAAUCUUAAUCCCACACCGUACCAUGCUGAAUGCAUGGGGCACAAGGUUCACCUGGACCAAAACGAGAAACUUGUAAUGUUUGGAGUCACCCAUGUUUUAGCUGUAGAUGGAUUCAGUAAAAAGAUUGUGAGUCAUUCCACAAUGCCAAUCAAAAACAACUUGAGCAUCUAUGAAUAUGUUUUCAGACCUGCAGUGAUCACCUAUGGUAUGUGGGACCAGGUGCGAGUAGACCAUGGAAAGGAAUUUUAUUUAACACUGUUCAUGCAAGAGAUGCUGUCACAUCAUCGCUUCAAUCAGGAGAGACUGCCUUAUUUACAGACCUCAUCCACAAGAAACCACACAGUUGAAAGGAUUUGGCCUGAAAUCAACAACCGUGUCAACUACCCACUAAAAACUGCCCUACUCCAGCUGAUGGACCAGGAGGAGAUAGAUAUGGAGGAUAACCUUGUGCGAUACUGUGUGUCCAAUCUAACCUGUCAGCUGUGUAACAUUGGUCUUGCAAGUGUGGUAGAAUCAUGGAAUGCUCAUAGAAUCCCAGGAAAAGGCAUACCAAAUCACUUUGCAGAACAUGGGUGUAAAAGAAGAAUUUCUCCAGAGCUCUUGCCAAAUGCACUUGAAGCAGCAGACCUUUACAGGCAGCACUUGGGAUCUGCACUCAAAGAAUAUUCGACUUUUGGAGUUGAUCCCUUCACAACCGAACAGGACAAACUUAGAACAGAGAGUCAUUUUGCAGAAAAAUAUCCUGAUAUUUCACAUUUGUUUUUUAGAGCCGUAAAUGGUGACUUUAUGCCAUACAAAGAAGCUCUGCUCUGUCUCAUAAACAUAACUCAGAGAAAUGUAUGAACCACUGCAUCUGUAAACUGUACAGAACAGACAAAAAAAAAAAUCAACUGACUGUAAACAUUUGUGUGUACACACUACAUUACUCCUCUGCAAAAAAAGAUUUCAAUACAGAAAAUGCAGCUGUUAGACCAGUAAUUUGUAGAACUCCGUUGUUACUCUCCCUGCAUUUUGCACAGUGCUGUGAUGUCUCUUGCCACUGUUCCACACAUGUCUUGCAGCCAAUAAUGCUUCUGCAGCACAGUGAGAACACUGGAUCCUCAAUGAUGUCUGCAAAAGUAAAUCAGAUAAGUGAGACUGUUAUCCAUUUAUGUUGAAUUUAGUUCAAACUAUAGGUUCAAAGUCAGUCUUGACAUAAAUUUACAGACAGCAUGCAGAAUAUUUUUGGUUAUUCUGUAAUUACUCUUGUUCACGCUGUUCUGAGAAAGUCCCUGUCUAUAUUUUUGUCUAUAAUUGAUGAGGGGCAAAAUCAGUACAUUUUCUCAAUUAGCAAGCAAGAAAAAUGAAAAAGUUACAGGUACUUGAUUCAAUAUAUGCAACUACAGUCCCAUUUUAAAUGUGAACUUUUUAGUUUUACAUUACUGUGAACAGUGUACCGUCACCCAUACUGACAUUGUAAUCAAUUUGAAAAGCUAUACUUUCAUAGUCAAGAUUGCAAGGAGAACCCAAAUUAAAUGUGCAUGUAAACUUUUGAAUGUUAUGUUACAGUAGACCUGCAUCUUGAUUGUCUGUGCCUAAGUAUUUAAAUGGACACUGCUGAAUAAAGAGCCUAUGUUUGGUAAAAAAAUGUUUGUCCAAAGUAAUGAUUGAAUGUGGUUUGACAUUGUUUUAAUUGUAAUUAAAAUGUUAGUGUAGAUGUAAUGUAUUUACUAAGCAACAUUUGAACAUACUCAUACAAACCACGCAGCUAAAUCCCUCCUUGAGUGUCUGCAGCUUGGGGGUUGUGACUUUCUGGGCAACUGCAAGAUCAGUGAGCUCUUUGAUUGCUGCUGUGACAGCUGGCAGACUUUGAGAUGCCAACACCAACUCUUCUAUUUUGUCACUCACUUCUCCCAAACUGGCACUGUCAUCAUCUUUACGGCUGCUACAAAUAAAAAUGGAUAAUCAGAUGUCAAAGCUACUUACUGGCUUAAAGAAACAUCACAUCACUUACUGAUAGAUGAUGAUUUAUGUAGUGAUGUCUUACUGCUAUUAUAGGAUUUAAAUCAAAUUAAUUCUUCUAUAUUGAUGUUCAUCCUAUAGUAUAUACAUAUUUAUUCACAUACCUCAGUUUCUUCCUCUUUGUUCCCUGGAGGCAAUUAAAGUCUUGUUCAGGCACAGCAAGAAUUUUUCGUGCAUUUUGUCUCCAGUACUGUGACCCUACAGAUGAAAAACAAAACCAAAGAAACCUGUUUAGAAGCCAAUACCAUAUUACCCAAUAAAUAUUACAAAGAGUCUGGUAAGACAUGUCUCUCCAUAAGAUAUGGGCUUUAGCUGUAAUAUUAUGGCUCACCUGUUGUGCCCUCCGACUCCAGAAUUGCAUUGCCCUGUGCAUCUGUCAAAAUUAUUGGGUUGUAAUUACCAAUGGCAUCUUGCACUUUUCCUACUAUCCCUUGAAGCGUAGCCUCAGACUCCAGGAAUCGUACAACCACCAUUCUAUUGGGAAUCAACCUCCCACCAACUACAUCUGCAAAGUACACUGAUCUGUAAAACAAAACAUAAUAAUUUUACAUAUCUUGUAAAAGACAGCAGGCCACAAAUCCAUUCAGUGAUUGCUAUAGGCAAAUUGUACUAAAACAGCUUUGCUAUUCUUAACAAUUCAACUAUCCAUGCACCUUAUGUUUCUUUUUAUUUUGCCUGUUCUGUAAUUUAAUAUUCAAGAACACAGACUCAUCCUACCUCUGAAAUGUUUUGGAGGACAUAGGGGAACUUGAAGUAGCCUGCUGUGAACGUGAAGGUGCAGACGCUGCCACAGCUGGUGCUCGCAUAAAUGCAAAACGCUGCCCGCUGGAACCUGCUGUUGGAAUUGACUCCAUGUCUUCUCCGUGGACUUCAUAGUGACCUCUGGGUGUAAGGUCUAAUGCGCUGAAAACACCAGAGACCGCACCGGGGAACAUAGCCACGUUUGAAUCAUCCGUGAUGUACAGAGUAUGCGCGGAUACCUGUUUAAGAAAAGUUUCCGUAAAUCACGUUGCUCUGCUAACGUGUUACUCCUGUGCACACGGUUAAUAGGCUCUAAAGGCUUACUUAUUAGCUAGUAGCCGGUAAAAGUCAAUGAAUAACUAUUUACACAUUAGCACAUGUGCACAAUUCACAUAUUAGCACAAUGAAGACGGCUAGACAUAGUAUUAGUAAAAGUAGGCCUACAUGAAAUCACCAAAUGUUAACGUUAGCCGUUCCGCAGUAAGGAAGAACAAUAACGUUCAUAAAAAAACUGCUGAAAGCAAAGUUUGCGAAGUUUACAUAUCUACCUGAAAGAUGCGACCCAGUUUUUCUGCAGUCAUGUCUUCGUCCCGGAGUGUCACUCUCUUAGUUUUCCUAAAAACAACGUAAUGGUCCAUCCUCUGUUUAUUCCAGUGUAACUUUAAGGCCGUCGAUCUCUUGUGUGGGGGACGGUGUGCGCGCGCCAUAAAAAAACGCGCAGAAGAAGUACUUCCCGUUUCAGACAUUGAAAAUGCGUCUAUUUUUUUGUUUUUGCGCUAGUAUACUUUCAUUAUUUGAAUCACGAAGAAAUCCAAAAAAGCACGUCUAAUUUUAAGUGUAUGACGGCUAUUUGUUACCACCGAAUGAAAAAACAAGUUAUUUUCGCCCAUUUUAUUCUUUAUCAAAAAUUAAAAAAAUGAAAAUUCUUUUAAAUAUCGUUUUUUCGUUUUGGUUUCUGAAACAAAACUUCAAAUACCGAAAAGUACACGGACCUUUAUUAAAGUGCAAUUCGAAAAAGGUUUUUGAAAUGCAGUUUAUUAAA
rnacentral:lncRNA from 1 species